rnacentral:rRNA from 1 species
UACGUAGGGAGCAAGCGUUGUCCGGAUUUAUUGGGCGUAAAGAGCUCGUAGGCGGCUUAGAAAGUCAGGUGUGAAAACUCUGGCUUAACCCAGAGACGCCACUUGAUACUUCUAUGGCUUGAGUUCGGUAGGGGCCAUGGAAUUCCUGGUGUAGCGGUGAAUGACGCAGAUAUCAGGAGGAACACCGGUGGCGAAGGCGGGACUCUGGGCCGAUACUGACGCUGAGGAGCGAAAGCGUGGGGAGCGAACAGG